CCCUGCUGCCUGCGCUCCGGCGCCGGUCUGCGCUCCACCAGCCUCGCGGGGACCCGCGGCGGGAUUCGGGGAGCGGCGGAGCGGGCGCACGGCUUAGUCCAUCCUGUGCGCUAGGAUGAACUCGGGGACUCACCACCCGGGACCAGGAUGCAGCAGCGGCGAAAAGCAUGCCGAGGACCAGACUCAAGGUCUAUGGAGCUUGUGCUGUUUGACUCACAUUAAUGAGACGGGGUGAACAGAUAAACACCCUGGAAUUGGCUCCCUAAUGCAGCCCCAGAGAUUCCUUCAUCGCAGAUCUUGUGUACUACAGACAUUUGGAGGGAGGAUUAUUGGUGAAUCAGAGGAAGAUGACAAUGAAAACUCAUAGCAGUGAACUGUAACAAAUGGAAACCUGGAUUUCAAUUGCCUUGCAUUCUUGGGACGCAUGGUAGUGAUAACUCUCCAUCAAGUGUGAUUAUUUACAAGGAGCAUCACUGUCAAAUCAGAACAGUUGGAUGGUAAUGCUUCUCACAAGAACACUGGUGUUUUCCCACUGCUGGAGAUGACGCUUCACCUGGUUGAACGAUCCCUUUGGAGAUGUUAGUUUGAAGAUGUGCUUGGAUAAAAGUAUCCUUGUUCCUCUCAGAGAGGUAAGAAUGUCGAUUUGUGCUUAUCUGGCCAUUGUCCCUAGUUACGUCUUCACUCAUCGGGUAGCGGCCCUGUCGUGUGUCAGGGACUGGGGUGAGAUACUUUGUAAAUGCUAUUUCAACCUUUUAAAAAUGCUGCAAAAAUUUGCAUUGACUUUUCAGUGGGGUCAACUUAAUGUUCCUUAAUGUCAAAGUAUUUUGAGUUUUCCUACAUUACAGCGUCACUAUUUUCCCCUAAGUUUACCAUAGAAUUGUAUAGUUAAUCAGUUUGCUGGUGCAUUUCCACCAAGUAAAGGAACUUCUUUCUUUUUAAAUGAAUGUGACCAUGAGUGCUCAGAGUGAAGGCUGCAGAGCGUUCUCGAACCUCCUCACUCUGGAAGCAGAAGGGGAGGGAGCGCAGGUAUGUGAUGUGCAAGACUGCAGUGCCAGUCAUAGUUCAGUAUGAGAGUCGGAAAUAACCACCGCAGGCUUGUGAGGACCAGGGAGCUUGAAAGAGGAUGCGGGGAAUUUCACAAGGAAAGACCGUGACUGUCAACAGGAAGGAUGUGAUAAGAUGAAAGUGGCUGAAAUACAGGUAACUCACCCACGGGUUUGGACACCUGAGAUGGCCAGGUAGAUCUGUGUUUGUCUGUAGUGUGUGGGGGAUAUGUAGGAACUUUAAAGGGGUGGGAGUGAAUCUGCAGAUUGCUUUAGUAACAGCCAUUUUAAUGAAGAUUUUUUUUCUAAUUAACGAGCAUAAAAUACCUGUCCAUCUCUUUGUGUCUGCUAUUUCUUUCAACAGUGCCAUACAGUUUUCUUUUGCUUCAUUGAUUAAAUUUAUCCCAGGACAUUUAAUUCUUGAUGGUGAUUGUGAAUGAGACUGUUUUCCUGUAUCUAUUAAGCAAAAUUUAGUGUCUGCAGAUUAGAAAGAGAAGGUACAAGUUAUAUAUUCUUUUUGUACUAUCAAGGACUUAGAACACAAUUUCAGACCAAAUGCAGGUAAUUUUUAACAUUCCCAUUAGGCAUCACAAAGGGGUUUGUUAGAAGUCAAACAAAGAAAGUAAUUUAAUGCAGUUUUCAGAAGGUUUACUACAGUCUAUCAGAGCGAAAUAGAAACGGCUGGAGUUUUUAGUUCCUAACCAUGAAGUCUAUUUCCCAUACUCUCCUCCUGCUUUUGUCUUUCAUGUGAACACGGUAGUUUAUGAAAAUGCGGCCAUAUUGACUAUACUGGGAUGUGAUCUAAUCCUCGGCCUUUGGCAGUGGUUCCAUGCUGCUUUUGAGAGAAAGUUCAUGAAUCCCUGUAGCCCAGCACCUCUGUACAGGUCUGACACACUGACACACUGGAAAGUUUGGAGUGUCUGCAAAAUACCUCCUCAGAACUUGAGGAGACACAUGGCUAAAGACUACUAUCCUUGAAGAGGGAAGGUGGCCGGCAGCCUACGAAUGUUCACUGUCUCAGAAUUGGAGGCAACAAGUGGGAUGCCUGUGGAUACCUGCAUGUUGGCCCACACCUUGCACCAGACUCUCGGCCUACGGAACCACGAGAGGAUAAAUGUAUCAUUUGAACCUCACAUUUGUCACAGCAAUGCCAGAUAAAGAUUAAAGUGUAGAAAACACCCUGCUAUGUACAUGGUGUACAUGGACUAUCUCUUCACAUACACCAGACUGACUGGCAUCACUUUCUAGGAAUCCCGUGGUGAUUUGCCCCGAGAGAUGUGGACAGGCAACUUGUCUGGAUUUUUCUUUCAGAGUUUGAACCCUCUACAUUUGUCUAUUGUCACCAUCUAAGAACAAAUCUUUAUAAUUAAUACAAUGAAUUUAUUUUUCAUCCUGUAUUUUAAAGGGCAUGGACCAUCUUAAAUGAGUGUGCAACAAGCCACUAUUUUCUUGAAUACAUUAGUGGAUCUCUGGCUAAUUAGACAAUAGGUGUUUUGCUGAGGUUUGGGUUAUGAGUAAAUAAAGGCUUCAUUA